GACAGAGGGUGCGAGCGUUAAUCGGAAUUACUGGGCGUAAAGGGCGCGUAGGUGGUUAAAUAAGUCUGAUGUGAAAUACCUGGGCUUAACCUGGGAAUGGCAUUGGGAACUGUGAGACUAGAGUGAAGUAGAGGGUAGUGGAAUUUCCGGUGUAGCGGUGAAAUGCGUAGAUAUCGGAAGGAACACCAGUGGCGAAGGCGGCUACCUGGACUUUUACUGACACUGAGGCGCGAAAGCGUGGGGAGCGAACAGG
rnacentral:rRNA from 1 species